UACGUAGGGUGCGAGCGUUGUCCGGAAUUAUUGGGCGUAAAGGGCUCGUAGGCGGUCUGUCACGUCGAAAGUGAAAACUCAGGGCUUAACCCUGAGCCUGCUUCCGAUACGGGCAGACUAGAGGUAUGCAGGGGAGAAUGGAAUCCUGGUGUAGCGGUGAAAUGCGCAGAUAUCAGGAGGAACACCAGUGGCGAAGGCGGUUCUCUGGGCAUUACCUGACGCUGAGGAGCGAAAGUGUGGGGAGCGAACAGG
rnacentral:rRNA from 1 species